rnacentral:rRNA from 1 species
UACGAAGGGGGCUAGCGUUGCUCGGAAUCACUGGGCGUAAAGGGCGCGUAGGCGGCUUGACAAGUCACUUGUGAAAUCUCCGGGCUUAACUCGGAACGGCCAAGUGAAACUGUCAUGCUAGAGUGCAGAAGGGGCAAUCGGAAUUCUUGGUGUAGCGGUGAAAUGCGUAGAUAUCAAGAGGAACACCUGAGGUGAAGACGGGUUGCUGGGCUGACACUGACGCUGAGGCGCGAAAGCCAGGGGAGCAAACGGG